CCUCAUCGAAUAUUUGAAAACAUUCCAAUUUGGGAAUUUUUCGAAUUAUAUAAUUUCAAACCUGAAGCAGGUUUUUAAAAUAAACCAAAAACAUUUAAAGUUAUACAAACUCUACAUGCUGGAAAAUUAUGUAAGAUAUUGAUUUUCUUAUUAGUUAUCCAUUCCAGUUGUAAUUUUGAUACACUAUACAUACAGUAAAAAAUACUCAGUGAAUGGGGAAAAUGCUCCUAAACGUUGAAUGUAUCAAAUGUGGUUUUGAAAGUUUUGUUUGGGAAAUUUUGAACAAAAGGAUACAAAAUGUAUGGGAUUCUCAAAAGCUGUUAAUGAAAAGAAAUUGUUAAAAACUGACAAAUAACAACUUGUGAACUUGCAACAAAUCUUAGUGUGUCACUGACAUGUAUUGUUGAAGCACUUCAUCCACUUGAAAUGGUUGCAAAUCAUAAUGACUGUUUUAUGCACCUAUUAAAUGAAAAAAACAAGUUUAAUUUUAUUUGACAAAGGUAAGCAGUUGUAAGGUUUCAUUUUAUUUUUUAAAUUAGUUACUUAUUUUUAUCGUAGAAAAGUUUUUAUGGAUGACAAUAUUAAAGUUAAAAUAACAAUAUUUUUAUAAAUAUUGUUAUUAACCAGAAAUUUAUUCUAGUGGGUUAUGAUUAGUUGGGUACUGAGGUAACACUGUAUUUGAUUAAUGCAGUUUUGAUAUAUACAGUAGCAUUGAGGGAUUAAUCAAUCGUGUUAUUCUAGGGAUACCUGUAUUUCAUUUCAGUCUUUCAACGAUUGAUAGCAUUUUUUCUUGUGUUUGAUUCAUAUUCUAUUUCACAUUUAUAAUUUGAAUUUUUAUGUGGCAUAAUCAAAAUUACUGAAAUAAACAGUGAGAAUUAUAAUUGAAGAAUAAUUCUUUGGUCCCUUUUUUCAAUGAAAAACAUAUUUAAAAAGUGCAAAAACCCUGUGUUAACUUUAUUCAUAUUACAUAUGUAUUAAGUUCAUUUUGUUCAUGUGCAUUUGGACAUGGUUUAAAAAUUGUAAUUAUUUCAUGUAUGAUUAAGUUUUAUAAUUUAAAUUAUGAAUUUUGUUCCAUUGAAAUAACAAACAUCCUUAAAAAAGUUUUAUGUUUAAAUGUUCCAAAUUUUGUUUUGUUCUAUUUCUUAGAUCCAUGACCUGAUGAUGACCAUUAAAUGAUGAUCCAAAACAUUUGUUCAAUUAAAUAAAGUCAGUUUGCUGGAAUAUCAAGAUGUGUUUUGUAUUUAAUGUGGAAUUAUUGAAAGAAAUUUAAUCUUGUUAUGUUAUGUUAUGACCCAGAUAAGAUAGUUGUGUUUUAGAACACCAUUAAUUCCUUUAGUUGUCAUUGUCGGCUCUGGAAUGGUUAUGUCUGCUGCGUAUUUGUUACGUCUUGCAUUGAAGAGUCCUGAUGUUAGCUGGGAUAGAAAAAAUAAUCCUGAACCAUGGCAACAUUAUGAGGGAAA